UACGUAGGGACCAAGCGUUGUUCGGAUUUACUGGGCGUAAAGGGCGCGUAGGCGGCGCGGUAAGUCACUUGUGAAAUCUCUGAGCUUAACUCAGAACGGUCAAGUGAUACUGCUGUGCUAGAGUGCGGAAGGGGCAAUCGGAAUUCUCGGUGUAGCGGUGAAAUGCGUAGAUAUCGAGAGGAACACCUGAGGUGAAGACGGGUUGCUGGGCCGACACUGACGCUGAUGCGCGAAAGCCAGGGGAGCAGACGGG
rnacentral:rRNA from 1 species